UUUAUCGUCACCCAAGCAGGACGCAGCCACUUGUCUGGCCAGCUGGCUGGGCCCACCAGCCAGCUCUAAGGCACACUAAUCAGCUGGUUAGGUGUGCCAUUUGUGUGGGCGUGUUGUGACGGUUUUUGUCCGGGUUCCCGUUAAUUAACCGGGCAAUUCUUUUCUGCUUAUUCAAUGAAAAUGGCAAAUCUUUUGCCUCGUUUCAAAAAAAAGAUUAGGUAUAAUUGAUAUCUUCUUGACAUUACUAUAUUUUCUUUAUCAAAAAACAAACUGCAAUUCUUUUUAGCUCAGUUUGGAACUCGCUAUACAAAUGAGUUGCAACUUUCGAAAAUCGAAUGCAAAGUUCCAGAGCUUCGACCAACAGAAAAUGAUCGCAGCUUCCGAAAUCAAGCACAAAUACAUGUACCGUACUUACGAUGGAGAAAUUCACCAGUGCGGAUUUGAUCACUUGCGCACACAGCUUAUUCAGAAAGAAAAGAAAAGAACCACCUGGGUUGUGUUUGUGCACAUAAAGCGCACAGGCCGCCCUGAGCUCAGUGCGGGCACCGGUCCUUGUACGUGCAGCCCCUGGUGUAGGACUGCCCCGGCGCCCCGCACUGGCCCGGGCACGCCGGCCUAUCCGGGAAGUAGCUGAUGUGCUGGGCGCCGGCGAGCUGCGCGGCGACGACGAGCAGGAGGAGGAGGACGCCGGCCAGGAACGCCGGAGCCGCCGGGAAUAGCUUGCUCGCCCCCAUUAUUGGUUCUCCUCCGCUGCCUGUGUAGGAUCUUGGGUGUUGGAUACAUCAUACAUGUCUGGUGCGGGGGCUUAUAAGGCCGAGGAGGCAGACCGACAUCGUGGAAUCAAUGCUAGCUGACCUGCUUGCCACGGAGAGCUGGCUGUUGCGUCGUCGCAUCUGGAUCGACCGGCG
rnacentral:lncRNA from 1 species